GACGUAGGGCGCGAGCGUUGUCCGGAUUUAUUGGGCGUAAAGAGCUCGUAGGCGGCUUGUCGCGUCGACUGUGAAAUCCCGCGGCUCAACUGCGGGUCUGCAGUCGAUACGGGCAGGCUAGAGUUCGGUAGGGGAGACUGGAAUUCCUGGUGUAGCGGUGAAAUGCGCAGAUAUCAGGAGGAACACCGGUGGCGAAGGCGGGUCACUGGGCCGCAACUGACGCUGAGGAGCGAAAGCAUGGGGGAGCGAACAGG
rnacentral:rRNA from 1 species